rnacentral:snRNA from 1 species
AACAAAAAUACCUAAGUUAAUUU